AGUCGAGCGGUAAGGCCCUUCGGGGUACACGAGCGGCGAACGGGUGAGUAACACGUGGGUAACCUGCCCUGCACUUUGGGAUAACCUCGGGAAACCGGGGCUAAUACCGGAUAGGACAUGCCAUCGCAUGGUGGUGUGUGGAAAGUUCCGGCGGUGUGGGAUGGGCCCGCGGCCUAUCAGCUUGUUGGUGGGGUGAUGGCCUACCAAGGCGACGACGGGUAGCCGGCCUGAGAGGGCGACCGGCCACACUGGGACUGAGACACGGCCCAGACUCCUACGGGAGGCAGCAGUGGGGAAUAUUGCGCAAUGGGCGAAAGCCUGACGCAGCGACGCCGCGUGAGGGAUGACUGCCUUCGGGUUGUAAACCUCUUUCAGCGCCGAAGAAGCGAGAGUGACGGUAGGCGCAGAAGAAGCACCGGCUAACUACGUGCCAGCAGCCGCGGUAAUACGUAGGGUGCGAGCGUUGUCCGGAAUUAUUGGGCGUAAAGAGCUCGUAGGCGGUUUGUCGCGUCGGCUGUGAAAACCUGGGGCUUAACCCCGGGCGUGCAGUCGAUACGGGCAGACUUGAGUUCGGCAGGGGAGACUGGAAUUCCUGGUGUAGCGGUGAAAUGCGCAGAUAUCAGGAGGAACACCGGUGGCGAAAGGCGGGUCUCUGGGCCGAUACUGACGC
rnacentral:rRNA from 1 species